CACAGAGCGUGUAGAGUAUUCAACUUUUCUGUAUGACCUAACAGGUUCUAACUCAAAGUCUCUUUCAAAAAACGGCAUGAAGAACUUUAAUACCCAAUAUCUCAUGGUGCUGAUGAUGAUUGAGAUGGUCUACUCAGCACCACAUUCAAAAAAUUUGAUGAAACAAAUCCGAGAAGAGACCGUAAACCUACUGGAAUCCAAGAAUAUGAUUUUGCACAUGUUCGUGCCAAUGACUACAAUAACAGAUUGUCCGCGAAAUGUCUUCUGCUUGGCUGAGAAGGCUCUAAAAAUGCCCAAUAAUACAGAGUUUCUCAACUUUACAGAUAAACUCGCUCGUCAAUUGUCUCAAUAUAACCAGAACCAUAGCUUUCCGUGUACCCUGAACACGAAUGAAAAAAUUAAACUGGUAAAGCUUCUGAAGGAUCUUAAGGACUGUGCAGACAAAAUGUGUAACUUGCAGUGAUCAUGUGUGUGAUUUUAUUAACAUGUAAUAUUUAACUUAUUUCUAUUUAUUGUGUGACUUGAGAUAUUUAUUUUCCUACAUAUUUUAUUUUUGUUUUGUAUUUAUAUAAAUAAAUUAUAAUGGCACAUGG